UCUGAAGGGGAGAGUGGCGAACGGGUGAGUAACACGUGGGUGACCUGCCUCGAAGACGGGGAUGCGACUGGAAACUGUGGCUAAUACCCGAUGGUCUCGAUAAUUCGGUCUAUCGAGUAAAGGCUCCGGCGCUUUGAGAGGGACCUGCGGCCCAUCAGCUAGUUGGUAGGGUAAUGGCCUACCAAGGCAAAGACGGGUACGGGGCGUGAGAGCGUGACCCCCCACACUGGCACUGUGACACGGGCCAGACUCCUACGGGAGGCAGCAGUGAGGAAUAUUGCGCAAUGAGCGAAAGCUAGACGCAGCAACGCCGCGUGGGUGAUGAAGGCCUUCGGGUCGUAAAACCCUUUUCUGGGGGAAGAGUAAGGACGGUACCCCAGGAAUAAGCCUCGGCUAACUAUGUGCCAGCAGCCGCGGUAAUACAUAGGAGGCAAGCGUCAUCCGGAUUCACUGGGCGUAAAGAGCGUUGAGGCGGCUUCGUAAGUUGUACGUGACAGCUCCCGGCUUACCUGGGAGAGGCCGUUCAAUACUAGCGGGGCUUGAGGACAUGCCAGAGGGGGGUGGAAUUUCCGGUGUAAGUGGUGAAAUGCGUAGAUAUCGGGAAGGAACAGCAGUGUCGAAUGCGGGCCCCUGGGCUAGCUCCUGACGCUGAAAGGCGAAAGCUAGGGUAGCGAACGGGAUUAGAAAAGCCCGGUAGUCCCUAGCCGGAAACGAUGGAUACUAGGUGUAGGAGCGUUAAAUUCCUUUUGUGCCGGAGCUUACGCGUUAAGUAUCCCGCCUGGGGAGUACGGUCACAAGGCUAAUACUCAAAGGAAUUGACGGGGGGCCCGCACAAGCAGAGGAACCGUGUGGUUUAAUUCGAUGCAACGCGAAGAACCUUACCAGGGCUUGACAUGUAGGUAGUAGUG
rnacentral:rRNA from 1 species